UUUCAUGUGGAUCUUUUUCAAGGAAGAACAGGCAUCUGGAAUAGACAGGCUGUGCCUGUGGCCCCAGCAACUGAGGAGGCUGAGGCAGGAGGAU
rnacentral:miRNA from 1 species